UACGGAGGAUCCAAGCGUUAUCCGGAUUUAUUGGGUUUAAAGGGUGCGUAGGCGGAAUAGUAAGUCAGUGGUGAAAGCCUGUCGCUUAACGACAGAACUGCCAUUGAUACUGCUAAUCUUGAGUAUAAUUGAAGUGGGCGGAAUGUGUCGUGUAGCGGUGAAAUGCUUAGAUAUGACACAGAACACCGAUUGCGAAGGCAGCUCACUAAACUAUAACUGACGCUGAGGCGCGAAAGCGUGGGGAGCAGACAGG
rnacentral:rRNA from 1 species